UUUAUUUGGUAGGUAACAUCGCCGAAGCGUAUCAUCAGAUUUUACUUCGAAGGAAGGAACUCGAAGUGAGACGGCACCGUCUUGUGCAACGCAACUACCGUUGCGCCUUCUAUCAUCAACUAUCCGGUAGACUUGGUAAAAAAGGGCCCCGACUUAUUUCCAGAAUUAGAGUUCGACCGCAGCUGCCCCUUUUUUUGGGAGGAUCAAGUUCCUUGCCAACUAUCGACCCCGAUCUCUUUUCAUUUGUUUUGGGUAUUACCAAACCUAGCCUAGCCUUCGUCAAUUACACUAAAGCAGAGCACCCAACUAUGGAAAGGCCCCCUUAAGGGUUAGGUUAGUCAAUCCGGCCCGAGACGCGUUCGUUGACAAAACCGCCGUAGGAAUAGAGACCUUUCAAUAGAGCGGAGGCGAACUGAUCAACGAGAAAGAGGCCCUACUCACUACAAACGAAUACACCACAAGAUCGAACUGCACUCAUGCCUCUCCCGCAUCAAGUUGACCACCCCCCCCUAUGUAGUGAUUCUAUCAAUCAUGUACGUAGGUAGGCCCUCCAUUCUGAUUGGUAUAUCAUGAAAAAAGAAAGCCAUUUGCACCAGGCGCACUGCGCUUUCCCUUGCCCAGAUGUUUGUCUUUCUAAGUCAAGUAAUGGUGACCCGCCGAAGACUGGAGCCUCGUAACAUGUUGACGAAGACCUCCGAACUGAGGGUUCGAUCAGUAGAGGGGACGACUUAGCCUCCCCGGAAGAAGAAUAGCCCCGCUCUCUAGCCGACUGAUGCCGUUGAUCAUAUAACUGAGAGGGAACGUGUCACAUUAGAGGUGAACGAUCAGAGAUGUCCUAUAAUCACCACGAUGAGGCCGGUCCCUCUUUUAGUAGACUCAGCUAUGAAUAUGAAUGAAGAAAUGAAUGCCGGGCUCUUUCUUUCACUGCUAACCCCAAGAAGUUUCUUAAUGCUGAUACUUUUUGUUUCGUCGAGCCCCAAGCUUGUGGUCCUCCUUUGAGUGUGGGUUCAAUUGGAUGAAUCCGUCAAGUCAAGGUCAACGUACGUAGCAGCAAGGAUGGUGCAUCGCCUAUUUCUCGUUCUCGCUCGGGAGCCAAAACGAACACGCCUGAUACCUACUGUACUGGACCUUCGACCAGGCAUUCUACCCUUGUCGAAUCGGAACCAACCACCACUGCAUUGCGCUCGAACAGUUGAGCGGCCGCCGGCCGGCAACUUCCGUACACAGAUAUAGAUUCAUUCUUCGUACCUGGUCCAACCUCACAACCCUUCGCGGGUUGGUCAGAAGUCAGUCUUGUUUGGUAAGACGGAAUUGGACAAAGAAAAGAGAGUGCUCGACCGGAACAACGGCCAACAAAGACCGUAAUUACAUAAACCAUAUCCUCCCCUUAUCCGUCUUUAAGGCUUUAAGGCGAACCGUAUGGCGGCUGGAAAGAAAGAGACCUCACCUUCUCGUAGAUGGUGUCAGUGAGAGCAACUUUUUUAUCCCCCGUUGACCUUCUUUUUUAGAUAGAAUCUUCAAUGAGUGGAAAGAAGCAACCUUACUAAUAAUAAGAAAGGUGCUUGUUGAGUAAGGCCGGCUUUAGAGCCCAAGCCCCUUUAAUAUGAUGAGAAGAAGAGGGGCCGCCCUCUUUUCUUUUCCGCACCAAUCCUUAUUUACUACUACAUAAUUUUUUGGUUGUAUGGCUCAAUUGGUAGAGAAUUGGGCUUUUAACCUAAUGGUCGCAGGUUCAAGUCUUGCUAUACCCAAAUACCUUACACUACACUAUUAGUAAGGAUGCGUAGUAGCGUUCAAAGAUCACUCUUUGGCGCAGACAGUCUUCAGCACUCAUCAGCUCAGAGCAAAUUUCACAUAAAUCCCAGAUGGCAGUACCAUGGAGAGGUUAUGUCAAAUUAGGAAAUUUCUGUGUAAACAAUGCAUUAAUCACUUUUUUUUGACUGAAUGGUAAAAGAAUAUUAUAGGCUAUGGAGCUAUGCGGUUGAAGAUAAGUUUCCUGCAUUACUUCUUUCUUUCUGAAGUGGACUGCAGUCUCUAGCCUUUUUUUCAACCAAUAAAUAAUGAACAGAUGAGGCAUCACAAAA
rnacentral:misc_RNA from 1 species